rnacentral:rRNA from 1 species
UACAGAGGUCUCAAGCGUUGUUCGGAUUCAUUGGGCGUAAAGGGUGCGUAGGUGGCGAGGCAAGUCAGAUGUGAAAUCCCGGGGCUCAACCCCGGAACUGCAUUUGAAACUGCCUUGCUCGAGUACUGGAGAGGAGACUGGAAUUUACGGUGUAGCGGUGAAAUGCGUAGAUAUCGUAAGGAAGACCAGUGGCGAAGGCGAGUCUCUGGACAGUUACUGACACUGAGGCACGAAGGCCAGGGGAGCAAACGGG